UACAGAGGGUGCAAGCGUUAAUCGGAGUUACUGGGCGUAAAGGGCGCGUAGGUGGUUAUGUGUGUGAGACGUGAAAGCCCCGGGCUUAACCUGGGAAUGUCGUCUUAAACUGCAUGACUAGAGUACUGUAGAGGGCAGUGGAAUUUCCGGUGUAGCGGUGAAAUGCGUAGAGAUCGGAAGGAACACCAGUGGCGAAGGCGGCUACCUGGACAGAUACUGACACUGAGGCGCGAAAGCGUGGGGAGCAAACAGG
rnacentral:rRNA from 1 species